rnacentral:rRNA from 1 species
AUUGAACGCUGGCGGCAUGCCUUACACAUGCAAGUCGAACGGUAACAGGUCUUCAGAUGCUGACGAGUGGCGAACGGGUGAGUAAUACGUCGGAACGUGCCUAGUAGUGGGGGAUAACUACUCGAAAGAUUGGCUAAUACCGCAUGAGAUCUAUGGAUGAAAGCAGGGGAUCGCAAGACCUUGUGCUACUAGAGCGGCCGAUGGCAGAUUAGGUAGUUGGUGGGAUAAAAGCUUACCAAGCCGACGAUCUGUAGCUGGUCUGAGAGGACGAUCAGCCACACUGGGACUGAGACACGGCCCAGACUCCUACGGGAGGCAGCAGUGGGGAAUUUUGGACAAUGGGCGCAAGCCUGAUCCAGCAAUGCCGCGUGCAGGAUGAAGGCCUUCGGGUUGUAAACUGCUUUUGUACGGAACGAAAAGCCCUGGGUUAAUACCCUGGGGUCAUGACGGUACCGUAAGAAUAAGCACCGGCUAACUACGUGCCAGCCGCCGCGGUAAAAC